GGGCAGUGGAGACAUUGUCCUUCAGUUAGGCUGGCCCCAGAACAGGUGCUGCAUGGCUGUCGUCAGCUCGUGUCGUGAGAUGUUGGGUUAAGUCCCGCAACGAGCGCAACCCUCGCCCUUAGUUGCCAGCAUUUAGUUGGGCACUCUAAGGGGACUGCCGGUGAUAAGCCGAGAGGAAGGUGGGGAUGACGUCAAGUCCUCAUGGCCCUUACGGGCUGGGCUACACACGUGCUACAAUGGUGGUGACAGUGGGCAGCGAGACAGCGAUGUCGAGCUAAUCUCCAAAAGCCAUCUCAGUUCGGAUUGCACUCUGCAACUCGAGUGCAUGAAGUUGGAAUCGCUAGUAAUCGCAGAUCAGC
rnacentral:rRNA from 1 species